UUCUUUCUAGAAACACUUUCCAGUACUCCUACUUUGUUACGACUUAUUCCAAUUUUAAAAUGAAAGCGACGGGCAAUAUGUACAUAAUUCAAUUUUUAAUCAUUUUAAAAAAUUAUUUAAAAUUACAUUUAAAUCCACUUUUAUUAAAUUAUUACAAAAAAAAAUUCAUUUAAAUAAAUUUAUUGUAAUCCAUUAUAUUCUUAAUUAUAAUCUGCAUCUUGAUUUGAAUUAAUUUUUAUUUUUAAUUUUUAAAUAUUAUUUUUAUUUAAAAAUAUUUUUUUAACAACGAUAUACAAAAUAUUAAAUUAAGUAAAUUUAUUCGUGGAAUAUCAAUUAUUAAACAGAUUCCUCUAAAUGAACUAAAUUACCGCCAAAUUAUUUAAGUUCCAAUAAUUAUUUAUCUACUAUUUUAGUUUUUAUUUAAAAUUUAAAAUAAUAGGGUAUCUAAUCCUAGUUUUUUUCUUAAAUUUAUUAGAUUAUAAAUAAAUUAUAAAUUUUAUUUAAAUUAAAAUUUUACUUAAUAAUUUAAUAUUUAAUUUAAAAUAAUUACUUAUAUUAACUAUUUCUAAAAAAAUUUAUUUUAAUUUUUGUAUAACCGCAACUGCUGGCACAAAAUUUGUUAUUAAAUUUUAAUAUUACUAAAUCUUAAUUUCUUAAAUUUUUAAUUUUAAUUACUACUAAUCAUUUUAACUAUAUUAUUAAAAUAAUUAAAAAUUAAUAC
rnacentral:rRNA from 1 species